rnacentral:rRNA from 1 species
GAUGAACGCUGGCGGCGUGCCUAAUACAUGCAAGUCGAGCGAACAGAUGAGGAGCUUGCUCCUCUGACGUUAGCGGCGGACGGGUGAGUAACACGUGGAUAACCUACCUAUAAGACUGGGAUAACUUCGGGAAACCGUAGCUAAUACCGGAUAAUAUAUUGAACCGCAUGGUUCAAUAGUGAAAGACGGUUUUGCUGUCACUUAUAGAUGGAUCCGCGCCGCAUUAGCUAGUUGGUAAGGUAACGGCUUACCAAGGCAACGAUGUGUAGCCGACCUGAGAGGGUGAUAGGCCACACUGGAACUGAGACACGGUCCAGACUCCUACGGGAGGCAGCAGUAGGGAAUCUUCCGCAAUGGGCGAAAGCCUGACGGAGCAACGCAGCGUGAGUGAUGAAGGUCUUCGGAUCGUAAAACUCUGUUAUUAGGGAAGAACAAAUGUGUAAGUAACUAUGCACGUCUUGACGGUACCUAAUCAGAAAGCCACGGCUAACUACGUG